GCUACCAUGCAGUCGAGCGCGCCCUUCGGGGUGAGCGGCGGACGGGUUAGUAACGCGUGGGACGUGCCCAGAUCUAAGGAAUAGCCACUGGAAACGGUGAGUAAUACCUUAUACGCCCUUCGGGGGAAAGAUUUAUCGGAUUUGGAUCGGCCCGCGUUAGAUUAGGUAGUUGGUGGGGUAAUGGCCUACCAAGCCUACGAUCUGUGGCUGGGUUUUAGAGGAUGAUCAGCAACACUGGGACUGAGACACGGCCCAGACUCCUACGGGGAGGCAGCAGGGGGGAAUCUUGGACAAGGGGGGCAACCCUGAUCCAGCCAUGCCGCGUGAGUGAUGAAGGCCUUAGGGUCGUAAAGCUCCUUCGCCUGUGAAUGAUAAUGACAGUAGCAGGUAAAGAAACCCCGGCUAACUCCGGGCGGGGGGGCGGCGAUACUCCCCCCCGGGGUUAGCGUUGUUCGGAAUACUGGGGUAAAGCGCGCGUAGCGGAUUAGUCAGUAGAGUGAAAUCCCAGGCUCACCCUGGAACUGCCUUUAAUACUGCUAGUCUGAGUUCGAGAGAGUGAGGGAAUUCGAGUGUAGGGUGAAAUCGAGAAUUCGAGCACACGGGGCGAAGCUCUCAUGACUCAUCUGCGCUGAGUGCAAAGUG
rnacentral:rRNA from 1 species